rnacentral:rRNA from 1 species
GACGAACGCUGGCGGCGUGCUUAAUACAUGCAAGUCGAACGGAAAGGCCCUGCUUUUGUUGGUUGCUCGAGUGCCGAACGCGUGAGUAUCACGUGAGUAUCCUCCCCUUGACUUUGUGAUAACUUCAGGAAACUGGGGCUCAUAUCGGAUAUGAUCUCCUGCUGCAUGUUGGGGGUUGGAAAGUUUCGGCGGUUGUGGAUGGACUCGCGGCUUAUCCGCUUGUUGGUGUGGUAGUGGCUUACCAAGGGUUUGACGGGUAGCCUGCCUGGGAGGGUGACCGGCCACAUGGGGACUGAGAGACGGAGCAGAAUCGUACGGGAGGCAGCGGGGGAGAAUAUGACACAAUGAGGGGAAGCCUGAGACAGAAACGCCGCGUGCGGGAUGACGGCCUUCGGGUGAUAAACAGCUGUCGACUGUGACAAAGAGGGAGUGACGGUAAUGGGUAAGGAAGCAACGGCUAACUACGUG